GGGAUUAAACCCUUGGAACAGAUGAAUAGUAGUAAGAAACUUGCUGUAGCUCCAUCAGAUACAUGAACAGCCUUUAAUCUAGGAGGAGGGUGGUGGAAAGGACACUGCCUUCGCGCAAUCAUCCUUAAAUGUCAUGUUGAGAGGGAGGCCUUGGUCAUUGUCAGUCCUGAAAGGUCACGAGGGGUGUUCAGUGUGGUUCUGAAAAACAGGCUUCUCCUUUCUCAGCUGGAGAGAACUAGAAGGACAUGGGUGGACAGGCAGAGGACAGAGCCGCCCAUUUUUGUCCUGAGUGAGUUUAAGGGCAGAGAAGAGCAUGAUGGGGAGGGGAGCGGAGCUGAGCUGUUCAAUGAAUGCACGAUACUUUCAGGCUCAAUUUCAUGCAUAUCUUCAAAAUAAUAUCUAUGAUCUCUCACCUGAAAUUUAUUUUGACAUAACAAGCAACAAGAAUCAAUUGCCCUCUGGGAUUAAUAAAGUAUUUUUGAAUUUGAAUUUGAAGUGAAAAAAAAAAAUCCCAAACACUGAUGAUCUGAAUCAGAUCAGACAUAAAAAUUUAAUUCUUGUGAAAGAAGAAACUUCAAAAAUCUAAAUGUCAUUUCACUACAUUUCUGUCACGUUGCUUUCAAAUCAGCAAAAUAAUUGUUUAAAAUUUUGUGCAAACCAGUUGGUAUCUUUAUUGUACAUGUACAGUGUCAUUAAUAUUAUAUUUAGUAAAUUAGUCCUGAUAUGAUUGCAUUUAUUGCUUGUUCAGGAGCUUAUGAUGACUACAAGGAAGCAAACAAGGAUGAGUAACAGCAAAUAUGAAAGCUGCAAGAGGAGCCGGCCCUAGACGAGUUAAGCAACUGCUUGGGGCCUCACACCACCAGGGGGGCUACAAGAGCACCAAAACAGCAUGAGAAAGAACAAAAGAUAGUAAACUUUGCUUGUUUACUGUAAGUUAAGUGUUUGUCUGCUGAUGUUAUUUUAAAAUAGUUGAGUUAAUUCACCACUCUUGACACUCAACAAUUCAAAAUGCAAACUAACUGCUACUCCUGUAAUAUCAACGUAGAUAAUAACACUUGUAUGAAAUACUUAAAUUACUAAAUAUAUGUGACUGAGUGUGUGUGUCUUACACACAUAAGCCCUUUUCAGACAGACAUUCUGGAACAUUUGUGGACAAUUCAAUCCGGUUUUUAACCGAACUGUGUUUUCAGACACACCACUUUUGUACCGGAACUUGUCCUUUCGGCUGCGUUCACACAGCAGGGAAAAGUUCCAGAUGUCUGACGGCGGCGGGGGGGAUCGGACUCAUGUUAAGAAGAAGAAGAAAAUAUCAUUGCUAUAGCGCCUCUCAAGAUAAAAAUCACGAGGCGCUUAAGCAUAAUUCUGCGCACACGAAGACGCAUAAGCGACCUGGAUGAUGAAGCUCAAUGGUUAAAGGAAUCACUGAAGCGGUGUGAAGCGCUCAGUCGCGCGUCUAGGCGGUACUGUAGGAGGCGAGCUGCCGUGGUUCGCCGCAUGCUACAGCAGCGGGCUAUCUAGGUGCACACAGCGUCCCCCAGUCCCCUCCUCCUCCCCUUCCUCCUCCCCCUCCCCCUUGUCCGGAAUGCUACCUCACCAGUCUGAAGCAGCCACCCUGUCCGUAACAAGUCCGGACCUGUUACUAGGGGCUUCGUCCGGUUAAAUUCCGGAACACGUUAUCCGGAUGUUUGUAUUCAGACACAAAGGUCUUACGGACAGAGUCCGGAACAUUUCCGUUUUUCAUGGCCUGUCUGAAGGGGGCUAUAGUGUAGCCAAGAAACGAUGAAUCAUCUGGUUUUGACUUGAUGGUAUGAGGGGCCCCAGAGGAACACCUGCUUAGGUCCCAACAAAAGCUUGGGCCGGCCCUGGCUGCAAGCAACGAUAUCUGCUUCACACACCUUGAUAGCCAGUAACCUCAUGAUUAUCUGAAACAUGUAAAAGACUUAAUGGUCAUGAGGGUCAACGUGUGAUGUUCAUGAGUUAAACAUCUAACUUAUUGUUCUCUGUAGGCGGAGCUAAGGUGAUGAUGGGACUUGUGUUUGGAACAAGAUUCUGACCAAAUAUUGGAGUGAUUUUCAACUUAAUAUUUUAAAAAGUUUUUAAAAAAUUAUCACAUGUAAGGUUAAAAAAAUGUAACCAAAAUUGCCACUGUCCUGUAAGAAUUAAGCCAAAGGUCCAAAAGAAGUUUGGUUGAGAGCUUAUGUGAAACCAAAUCAUUUCAAGUGUCAUUUAAAAAAUGUAUUCCAGGAUUUUGUGCUGAGUCAUAAAAAAACAAAGAGUUUCUGAAUGUUCUAAUCUAUUCAAAGUUUGUUAGAUUUGGAGAUCAGAUGUAAUAUGUAGAAUUUACAUCCACAUUUAGCACCAUGAUACCACCAUGAGACAAUAAAAUGAAACAUAAUGCCAUUUUGCCAUGUUUUUAAAUGAAUUUUAAUCUAAAUUAGCUAGUGUGGCCAGCCAGACUAAGCAACACUCCAUUGACGGCUCUUGGUCGUGGGGCGUGUUCUACCGUUGUCUUUCAAACGAUCUCCGCAUGCUACUGGACAAUGAACAACGUGACGUACCCACCGCAACAGAUGUUGGUAAACAAAUGGUCCGCUGUGGAAGAAGACAAAAAUACAUUUUUUUUCUAAACAAAGGACCUACGGUAAUUAAAU